rnacentral:rRNA from 1 species
GAUGAAUGCUGGCGGCGUGCCUAACACAUGCAAGUCGAGCGGCAGCGAGUUUUACACUGAAUUCUGGAAGCUUCUGAGUAGUACAGAAGAUUUAUUCAAGAGUUUUGUGUAAAAUGUCGGCGAGCGGCGGACGGCUGAGUAACGCGUAGGAAUUUGCCCCAAAGUGAGGAAUAACUGCCCGAAAGGGUAGCUAAUGCCGCAUAUGGUCUUCGGAUUAAAGCCUUCGGGCGCUUUGGGAGAAGCCUGCGUUGGAUUAGGUAGUUGGUAGGGUAAUGGCCUACCAAGCCGACGAUCCAUAGCUGGUAUGAGAGGAUGAUCAGCCAGACUGGAACUGAGACACGGUCCAGACUCCUACGGGAGGCAGCAGUGAGGAAUCUUCCACAAUGGGCGAAAGCCUGAUGGAGCAACGCCGCGUGAAGGAUGAAGGCCUUCGGGUUGUAAACUUCUUUUAUGAGUGAAGAAUAUGACGGUAACUCAUGAAUAAGCACCGGCUAACUACGUG